rnacentral:rRNA from 1 species
UACGUAGGGUGCAAGCGUUAAUCGGAAUUACUGGGCGUAAAGCGUGCGCCAGGCGGUUUUGUAAGUCUGUCGUGAAAUCCCCCGGGCUCAACCUGGGAAUUGCGAUGGAGACUGCAAGGCUAGAAUCUGGCAGAGGGGGGUAGAAUUCCACGUGUAGCAGUGAAAUGCGUAGAGAUGUGGAGGAACACCGAUGGCGAAGGCAGCCCCCUGGGUCAAGAUUGACGCUCAUGCACGAAAGCGUGGGGAGCAAACAGG